rnacentral:rRNA from 1 species
GGUCAAGCUACUAAGGGCAUACGGUGGAUGCCUCGGCGGACGGAGGCGAUGAAGGACGUGGCGGGCUGCGAUAAGCCUCGGGGAGGUGCCGAGCAACCUGUGAUCCGAGGAUCUCCGAAUGGGGGAACCCGGCGUGCCUGAAGGCACGUCAUCACCGUGUGAAUCCAUAGCACGGUGAGGCGACACCCGGGGAAGUGAACCAUCUCAGUACCCGGAGGAAAAGAAAGCAAACCCCGAUUCCCCUAGUAGCGGCGAGCGAACGGGGAACAGCCCAAACCUCGGGAGUGUCAAAGCCUGCCGGCGUUGCUCUCGAGGGGUUGCGGGAAUGGUCCGGACCGUGCGGCAGAACGGUCGGGGAGUUACAAAACGGGCGGUUAGCCGAAUGGUCCUGGAAAGGCCAGCCAGAGAGCGUGAUAGCCGCGUAGGCGAAAACCGACCCGUCUCCCUGGGACUAUCUCCCAAGUAACGCGGGACACGAGAAAUCCUGCGUGAAUCUGGGAGGACCACCUCCUAAGGCUAAAUACUCCCGUCCGACCGAUAGUGCACCAGUACCGUGAGGGAAAGGUGAAAAGAACCCCUGCAAGGGGAGUGAAAUAGACCUGAAACCGUAUGCCUACAAGCAGUGGGAGGGAUCAGCUCGGAUGCCCUCGGGUGUCCGGGUGGCCUGACCGCGUGCCUUUUGCUUAAUGAGCCGGCUAGUUCGUGUGUGCGGCAAGGCUAAGCCGAGGAAGGCGGAGCCGUAGCGAAAGCGAGUCCGAAUAGGGCGACGGAGUCGCACACACGAGACGCGAAGCGGGAUGAUCUACCCCUGGCCAGGGUGAAGCCGCGGUAACACGCGGUGGAGGCCCGAACCGGUGUUCGUUGAAAAGGGCUCGGAUGAGCUGGGGGUAGGGGUGAAAGGCCAAUCAAAUUCCGUGAUAGCUCGUUCUCCCCGAAAUAGCUGUAGGGCUAGCCUCGGGUGAAUACCACGGGUGGUAGAGCACUGGAUGGGCUAGGGGGCUUACCCGCCUACCAAACCCAACCAAACUCCGAAUGCCCGUGAGUCAUGCCCGGGAGUCAGACUGCGGGGGCUAAGCUCCGUGGUCGAGAGGGGAACAGCCCAGACCGUCGGCUAAGGUCCCCAAGUGCCGCCUAAGUGGGAAAGGAUGUGGAGUCGCGAUGACAGCCAGGAGGUUAGCUUAGAAGCAGCUAUCCUUUAAAGAGUGCGUAACAGCUCACUGGUCGAUGCGACUCUGCGCCGACAAUCCAACGGGGCUCAAGGCGGCCACCGAAGCCACGGAAUCGAGCAGGUCUUCGCCUCGCUCGGUUGGUAGGGGAGCAUUCCGGUUGCCUGCGAAGCCGCACCGCGAGGGCGGAUGGAGGCCCCGGAAGAGACUCUGCCGGCAUAAGUAGCGAUAACGCGGGUGAGAACCCCGCGCGCCGAAAGCCUAAGGUUUCCUCUGUGAAGUCAGUCUGCAGAGGGUUAGCCGGUGCCUAAGGCGAGGCCGAAAGGCGUAGCCGAAGGGAAGCAGGUGAAUAUUCCUGCGCCACCUUCCGUGCGCUAGGAGCCUGGGGGGACGCCGAAGGAUAGGCCGGUCGGGUGAUGGACGUCCCGAUUCAACCCGGUAGGUGGAGGGGGUAGGCAAAACCGCUCCCUCGUCAACACCGAGAGGGGAGAACGACCCCGUAAGGGGGAAAGCGGCCGAGUCCAUGCGGCCAGGAAAAGCCUCGGUGGCGAGCGCGGAAGGUGACCGUACCGCAAACCGACACAGGUAGGCGAGGAGAAUAUCCACAGGCGCAUGUGUGAUGGCUCGGCAAGGAACUAGGCAAAUUGGCCCCGUAACUUCGGGAGAAGGGGUGCCCACGCUAGGUGUAGGAGCACUGCCUCCGAAGCCGAGGUGGGUCGCAGUGAAGAGCGCCACGCGACUGUUUACUAAAAACACAGGUCUCCGCAAACUCGUGAAGAGGAUGUAUGGGGGCUGACGCCUGCCCAAUGCCGGAAGGUUAAAGGGAGGGGUUAGCCUGGACUCGCUCCGGGCGAAGCUCCGAACCGAAGCCCCGGUGAAUGGCGGCCGUAACUAUAACGGUCCUAAGGUAGCGAAAUUCCUUGUCGGGUAAGUUCCGACCUGCAUGAAUGGCGUAACGACGUGGCGACUGUCUUGCCGAGCUGCACAGCGAACUUGUGGUCCCGGUGAAGACGCCGGGUGCCCGCACCAAGACGGAAAGACCCCGUGGACCUUAACUGCAACCUGUCACUGAAUCUGGGUUUGGUCUGCGCAGGAUAGGUGGGAGGCUAGGAACCUGCCCUUUCGGGGGCAGGGGAGCCGCCGGUGAGAUACCACCCUGAUCAAAUUCGGGUUCUAACCUGCCACCCUGAAUCGGGUGGAGGGACAGUGAUAGGGGGGUAGUUUAACUGGGGCGGUUGCCUCCUAAACGGUAACGGAGGCGCCCAAAGGUCGGCUCAAGGCGUUUGGAAAUCGCCUGCAGAGUGUAAGGGCAUAAGCCGGCCUGACUGCGAGACACACACGUCGAGCAGAGGCGAAAGCCGGGCCUAGUGAUCCGGUGGUCCCGCGUGGAAGGGCCAUCGCUCAACGGAUAAAAGGUACCCCGGGGAUAACAGGCUGAUCGGGGCCAAGAGUUCACAUCGACGCCCCGGUUUGGCACCUCGAUGUCGGCUCAUCGCAUCCUGGGGCUGAAGAAGGUCCCAAGGGUUGGUCUGUUCGCCCAUUAAAGCGGUACGUGAGCUGGGUUUAGAACGUCGCGAGACAGUUCGGUCCCUAUCUGGUGUGGGCGCAGGAGACUUGAGGGAAGCUGGCCUCAGUACGAGAGGACCAGGCUGGACCAGCCUCUGGUGUACCGGUUGUCACGCCCGUGGCAGCGCCGGGUAGCUAGGCUGGGCAGGGAUAACCGCUGAAGGCAUCUAAGCGGGAAGCCCGACCCAAGAUAAGGUCUCCCUGAAGGGCCCUGGUAGACGACCAGGUUGAUAGGCCGGAGGUGUAAGCGCCGCAAGGCGUUGAGCUGACCGGUACUAAUCGCCCGUUCGGCUUGACCA